rnacentral:rRNA from 1 species
CUACGGGCGGCAGCAGUGGGGAAUAUUGGACAAUGGGGGAAACCCUGAUCCAGCAAUGCCGCGUGUGUGAAGAAGGCCUGCGGGUUGUAAAGCACUUUCGGUUGGGAGGACUGCUUCUAGCACUAAUAUUGUUGGAAGUUGACGUUACCUUCAGAAGAAGCACCGGCUAACUCCGUGCCAGCAGCCGCGGUAAUACGGAGGGUGCAGGCGUUAGUCGGAAUUACUGGGCGUAAAGCGCGCGUAGGCGGCUAGAUCAGUCGGGUGUGAAAGCCCCGGGCUUAACCUGGGAACUGCAUCCGAUACUGUCUGGCUUGAGUACAGGAGAGGAGAGUGGAAUUCCACAUGUAGCGGUGAAAUGCGUAGAUAUGUGGAGGAACACCAAUGGCGAAGGCAGCUCUCUGGCCUGAUACUGACGCUGAGGUGCAAAAGCGUGGGGAGCAAACAGGAUUAGAUACCCGAGUAGUC